GCUUGUCUCAAAGAUUAAGCCAUGCAUGUCUAAGUAUAAGCAAUUUGUACUGUGAAACUGCGAAUGGCUCAUUAAAUCAGUUAUAGUUUAUUUGAUCUUACCUUACUACUUGGAUAACCGUGGUAAUUCUAGAGCUAAUACAUGCGUAAAGUCCCGACUCUUUCUGGGGAGGGAUGUAUUUAUUAGAUAAAAAACCAAUGCGGGUUCUGCCCGGUUUUGUGUUGAAUCAUAGUAACUUUUCGAAUCGCAUGGCUUCACGCCGGCGAUAGUUCAUUCAAAUUUCUGCCCUAUCAGCUUUCGACGGUAGUGUAGUGGACUACCGUGGCGUUAACGGGUAACGGAGAAUUAGGGUUCGAUUCCGGAGAGGGAGCCUGAGAAACGGCUACCACAUCUAAGGAAGGCAGCAGG
rnacentral:rRNA from 1 species